CUCCUCUCUCCUCUUUUUCUUCUUCUUCUUCUUCUUCUUCUUCUUCUUCUUCUUUUUUCUCCUCCUACUCCCCCUCCUCUUUUUCUCCUUCUAUUCUUUUUCUUCUUCUUCUUCUUCUUCUUCUUCUUCUUCUUCUUUCUCCUCCUCUUUCUCCUCCUCCUCCUCUCCUCUUCUUCUUCUUCUUCUUCUUCUUCUUCUUCUUCUUCUUCUUCUUCUUUU
rnacentral:lncRNA from 1 species